UCCUGGAGCUAACUCUGUGGGCAGCCCCAGGUCAUCGCCCUGGUGUAACAGUAUGCAGCACUCCGGCAUCAGAGCCAUUAUCUGAAAGAAGUGCCAGCCAGGAGACAGAGCGCAGGCAAGAUGCCAAACCCAAGUUGCAUCAGUUAAUGUGUAACUCAUCAUGCGCCAGCUCCUGCCUGCAGCAGCACCGGGCGCUCGGUGGCAGGAAUUGGAGCAGGAUCUGGCAUGGGAGGAGAGUGACGGAGCGCUGCACCCCACAGCAGCUGGCUUAAGGUGUGGUCCUGGUCUGCUCUGGUCUCACUGAACUUUGACCCUAAAGGCACUGAACUCUCAUGGGAGCUCUCCAAUCAAGAGUAUUAACAAGGAGCAAUCAGCAGGGGAGAUUUCCAGCAGACCUACAGAAGAGACACAGGAAUCAGGGGUACAAAGGAUUGUGGCCUGAGGAAGUGUGUGAUGGCAGUAGGAUGAAUGGAGAACAUGGAAGACCUGAAGACUCUUCAGGUAUCUCUUCAGAGAUACCAUCUUUCUCAGAUCAAGAAUAUCAAAGGGUGAAGGAAGGAACAGAACUGGACUCAAAGUCAAGUUUGGUGAAGCUGCACCAUCUCCUUAGCCCUCAGCAAUGAAUUUAUGAUUAUUAUGAAAUUUGUCGAGGACUUCAAUUACAAUCAAACCACAAGGAGGACAAACAGCAAACACAAUAAGCUGCUGGCUGACUUGCUCGGGUAGCUGCUAGUGAUCGAUAGUUUUUGAAGCUGUAAUUUCAAAUUACUGCAGUCAGGUCUUUUUCCUUUUGUCUUUUUGGCCAGUGCUGGCAAAGCAACAGCCUGGGUGAAUGAUAUCUGUUUAUAUGGUGGUUUUGAGAAGAGAAGAGGAAAUGCUAUGUUGUCUUCAAUCAAAGAAGUGUGGCCACGGAAAGAGGAGAGCUGAAACUGGUCAAGAUGCUACAACAUGGCAUAUAGGGACUGGAGCAGCAUGUCACAGAAGAGCCACUCUUGGAAGGAUGAGAUACGUGAGAUAAAUCAUGUGGCUUUUAUUCAUGAGGAGAGUCCAGAAAAGACAGAUGUUUUUGGUGCUGACUAUCCUAUGUAAAGUAGGUAGAUCAAACCACUCUCAGAAACCUUUUUUAGGGAGUGCCAAACUGUGACCCUGUGCAAAAUCAUGUAAUCUAAAGACAAAGGUAUCAGAAGGAGUAAGAGCCAAGGAGACCUCAGAGCUACCCUGUUUGUAUGACUGGAAAUCCUUUAUCUCCCCCACCCUCGCUGGCCCACAACCAAAAUGGUUUAAUGAGAACGUUAUUUGUUGAUACUGGCAGGUCUUGCUAUCACUCAUUGAAGAGGUAAGCAGUAUCACCUGUAGUGAAUGUGUUGCAAUUAGCAGAUAUAUUACACCUGCAGUCAGAUCUCCUCUUUUCAUCUAAAAUUUUUCAUUUCUUCCUUGUGUUGGCUGAGGAAGGGAUUUAUCCGGGGCCACUACAAAGGCAAGGGGAUGUAGUGAGAAGAAUCGAGCUGAUCUUCUGCUGGUUCCUGGUGUAGAAGACAUCACAGAAUCACAGAAUCACAGAAUUGUAGGGGUUGGAAGGGACCUCCAGAGAUCAUCGCGU